rnacentral:lncRNA from 1 species
CUGGCAAACGGUCAGAACACUACCUAGUUGACGGCUGUGAGCAGGCACAGCGGGCUGGAACCCAGAAGAGAGCUCCUGUCCAGAGGAGGGGGUCCUCAUGCGGCCAGAAGGAGAAGCAGAGACAAGCCAACCGACACCAGAGGAAGAGACAGACCAGACAGUGAGGAGCACAGGACAGGAAACUCAGAAACUCCCAAGACUGAGCUGGGGCUGGGACUCAGCCACACUCCAGGACCACGGACUCCCUUUAAGAGGACACUGGACAUCGUAGAGCCCUCAGCAUCAAAGGUCAUGGUCAUCUCCAGCAGACCCCCUUACUGCCACCAAACCCUAAAGUCAAACAGGAUGAACAACCAACUCUGCUUGCUGUGAUUUCACAAGGCUCCUGGUCCACAGAGGAAAUCCCUACCUGACCCGUCGAUCAGCCCGAAACUUCAACAUCUUUUUUGGAAGCUCAGUCCCCAGUUCGGCAGCCUCCGAGGAGCCACCAGCCACCCUGCUGCUACCAUCCCUCUGAGAAGUAAGUCCUUGGAUCCAGUUCUCAAUGCUGUGGCAGAGACGCAGGGUUCACAAGACAGAAAUGCAGAAAUGGAGAGAGGCUUGCACAGAGCAGGUGUACUGCUUCCAGGUAGUCCGACCUCACUGUGCUAAGGACACUGAGCAGCUGGGCGAGCGGAGGAACACGGGCUGCAUUCCCAUCUGCACGGAGACUCAUGCCAGCCCGACCUGCAGGGAGAAAGUGCUCCGGCCUCUCCAGCUUCCAGCCCAGACACAGGCUCUGGAGCUGCAAACCUACUUGCUUCUCAGAGACCUUCCAAGCCCUUCUGAGGGUUAAAGGAAGCUUCAGGUUCAUUGGCUGUUACUGUUGCUGUGAAGCUGAAGAGAAUUGAAGAAGUCUCCGUUCUCCUCUCUCAGCCUGCCCAGCUCUCAUCUAUACAGACCGGAGCAU